UUCCCUAAACUGUGAGCUCCUUAAGGGCAGGAAGGAUUCCUCACAUCUCUGAUUCCUCACAUCUCUGAUUCCUCAAUCCAGAGCACAGUGCCUGUAUUCAGGAGGAGCUUGGAAAAUGUUGAAUACACGGAGUUGAAGGGCUGAGGCACGGAGAGGAUAAGAACAUCAUCAAAUAUCACAUAGCCAUCCUAAUGGAUGUGAAAUGGCACCUCUUGUGGUUUUGAUUUACAUUUCCCUAAUGAGACAAAUUUUGACUCGGAGGGAGUGAGGCCAGCAUAACAGAGGAAAGCAGAGCCUGGAAACAGAGAGCUGAUGACAAGACUUGAACCUGAUCCAGCCACAUCUGAAGCCAGAACACCCCUGGACUUCCAAGUUGCAAGAGCCAAUAAAUUCCUCCCCAUUUUUUUGGUCCAGAGAUGUCAGGUUAUAUAAUGCAAUGGCAUAGAAGUCUGGAGAUGGACAAUAUUAAAGAAAGAUGCGUUGUGCUAGUCAAACCAAAGUCUUACCGCCAUGACUGCGCUCUGAAUGCUGUUCCAGGAAGAACCUCAAGGAUGUUGUCCACAUAAUGAACUAGAGGCAGGAUAUAUGCUUCUCUCCUCCUACCAGGGUCAACUUGCCGUCACGAUUGGAGGACCAAAAGAGCGCCUGGCAUAUGGGUGCUCAGUGAGUACGUGUUGCAUGAACGUGUGAACAAAAGCAAUCGGAUUUGUUGUACCAGGCGCAGUGCUGGAUGCCUCUUCAGAAGCUGCCUCAUUUGCUCCUUGCAGUGACCCUGUCAGAACGUAAUGUUCUCAUUGUCUCUCAAAUGAUAUGGAGGCACAGAGGCAGGAGGUAACCAAGAGCACAGAGCUGUGGUCAUCACAUAACCUCUGCCUGCAGGCUUGGCCCCAGCCGCAGCUUCAGAACGAGUCCUUCUCUGUGGAGAGGGCUUGAAGACCUCUGGUUCAGUGCUGAGGGGGAUUCAACAUCAACCAUGGUUCCGCUGGUCCUGCUGGCUCAGCUGGGGGCAAGUGGGCCUCCACCCUAAAUGCAGUAAUGGUAGAGUUGUUAAGAUGGCCCCUGGGACAGUACUGUCCGUGUUUUAAUCUCAGCUCUGCUCUUACUAGUGAGCUUGGAUCCCUGAAAGAAUCACCAGGACUUUGCAGACAGCACUUUGAGAAGGAACAUUUGCUGAGAUGCUGCUUCUCCUGCCAAGCCAUUCUCUCGCUGGAUCGUCGAAGAGGAGGGAAAGCAGCCAAGAAAGAAUUCCUGAGCGAGUACAACCAUGUAAAUUAGCACAGGCCACAAAUCCAAAGGAAAUCAUUCUGUGAGAAGUUAAAAAUGAAAAUGGAGUCCGGAUGGUGUUGCUCAGUGGAUUGAGUGUCAUCCCAUGGACUGAGAGGUCCCAGUUCGAUUCCUGGUCAGGUGAUU